GAGAAUGUAGAGGUUUAUUGUAACUUGGGAUAGUAAUAACGUUCAGCAUUAGUUGGAUCUCAUGAAACACAAAAAAAACAGUUGGACCACCGUAUAUUAUACCAUAGAAGCUGAAAUUUUAUUCGUCAGAGCCUAAUUCUUCUUGCAAUUAAGGCUAGAUGUUUUGGAUUAAAAGUUUCACCACGUUCCUGUUCAGUUGAUUGAUUUAACUCUUCUAUCUGAACUUGAAUAUUAUGAUUGUACCAGGACAAACAAAGCAUUCAGAACUUACAAUGCAUAAAGAAUAUAACAAGUGCUCUGAGCUUGGAGCAUUUGUUAGGACAAAGAA